rnacentral:rRNA from 1 species
GCGGACAGAAGGGAGCUUGCUCCCGGAUGUUAGCGGCGGACGGGUGAGUAACACGUGGGUAACCUGCCUGUAAGACUGGGAUAACUCCGGGAAACCGGAGCUAAUACCGGAUAGUUCCUUGAACCGCAUGGUUCAAGGAUGAAAGACGGUUUCGGCUGUCACUUACAGAUGGACCCGCGGCGCAUUAGCUAGUUGGUGGGGUAAUGGCUCACCAAGGCGACGAUGCGUAGCCGACCUGAGAGGGUGAUCGGCCACACUGGGACUGAGACACGGCCCAGACUCCUACGGGAGGCAGCAGUAGGGAAUCUUCCGCAAUGGACGAAAGUCUGACGGAGCAACGCCGCGUGAGUGAUGAAGGUUUUCGGAUCGUAAAGCUCUGUUGUUAGGGAAGAACAAGUGCGAGAGUAACUGCUCGCACCUUGACGGUACCUAACCAGAAAGCCACGGCUAACUAGGUGCCAGCAGCCGCGGUAAUACGUAGGUGGCAAGCGUUGUCCGGAAUUAUUGGGCGUAAAGGGCUCGCAGGCGGUUUCUUAAGUCUGAUGUGAAAGCCCCCGGCUCACCCGGGGAGCGUCAUUGAAAGCUGAGAAACUUGAGUGCAGAAGAGAGAGUGAAAUUCCACGUGUAGCGGUGAUGUGC